rnacentral:rRNA from 1 species
GAUGAACGCUGGCGGCGUGCCUAAUACAUGCAAGUCGAGCGAACAGACGAGGAGCUUGCUCCUUCGACGUUAGCGGCGGACGGGUGAGUAACACGUAGGUAACCUACCUAUAAGACUGGGAUAACUUCGGGAAACCGGAGCUAAUACCGGAUAAUAUUUCGAACCGCAUGGUUCGAUAGUGAAAGAUGGCUUUGCUAUCACUUAUAGAUGGACCUGCGCCGUAUUAGCUAGUUGGUAAGGUAACGGCUUACCAAGGCAACGAUACGUAGCCGACCUGAGAGGGUGAUCGGCCACACUGGAACUGAGACACGGUCCAGACUCCUCCGGGAGGCAGCAGUAGGGAAUCUUCCGCAAUGGGCGAAAGCCUGACGGAGCAACGCCGCGUGAGUGAUGAAGGUCUUCGGAUCGUAAAACUCUGUUAUUAGGGAAGAACAAACGUGUAAGUAACUGUGCACGUCUUGACGGUACCUAAUCAGAAAGCCACGGCUAACUACGUG